AUCCAACCAAAAUAAGUUAAAUAUAAGACUAUUUGAGAUGACUUUGAGGAGCAGCAGCAGUCCGUUGAAUCAUUAAGAUGUUUCCGGACCACAAAAGUAUUCAUAACCUAGAUCUCAGUCUUGGUUUCUGCCGUGAUUACCUUUGUUUUACUUCCAGAUGAAGUCAAUUUAGUGUGACUUAGCAUGGGCAGAUUACUGUCUCCACAUAGGGCUCACACACUAAAAGCUCUCAUGCUGUUCAUGGGUAUUUACUGUUUGCUUGUGUCUCUCUCAGCAGCACUAACAAGGCUCACAUCAGCUCCAGUAAGCUCACACAGUGGGUACAGCCUCUCAGAGCUCAGCAGGUCAGCUGGUUCGGGUGAGUAAUUCCGUAUUUCCUAAAUUCAUGACUUCAGUCUGAGACCAUGGUGAGUGAUGUGUGAUGGGACGUAUUCUUUGGUGUUUGUAGGGUUUCCUAACCCAGCUCAGAUCUGUUACAUGAAUUCCAGCCUCCAGAGCCUGCUUACACUUGUCAAGUUCAUGAGAGAUGGCAACAGCCAGGAGGAGGUGUGGAGUCUGAUUCUGGAGGUUGAUGAGGUACAGUACCUGUGGACUCACAGACAGAGCCUCUCUUUGGAGUUCACUUCGUGUUCUCUGUUUGAAAGUAAAUGUAAAGGUUAAGGCUC